rnacentral:rRNA from 1 species
GAUGAACGCUAGCUACAGGCUUAACACAUGCAAGUCGCGGGACCGGCGCACGGGUGAGUAACGCGUAUCCAACCUGCACUUCACCACGGGAUAACCCGGCGAAAGUCGGACUACUACCGUAUGGUGAAGGGUGGGGCUGCGUCGGAUUGGGUUGAUGGCGGGGUAACGGCCAGCCGUGGCUGCGCACGGUAGGGGUUCGGAGAGGGAGGUCCCCCACACUGGAACUGAGACACGGUCCAGACUCCUACGGGAGGCAGGAGUGAGGAAGAUUGGUCAAUGGGCGUAAGCCUGAACCAGCCAAGUAGCGUGCAGGACGACGGCCUAUGGGUUGUAAACUGCUUUUAUGUGGGGAUAGGUACCGCAUGAAUAAGGACCGGCUAAUUCCGUGCCAGCAGCCGCGGUAAUAC